rnacentral:rRNA from 1 species
GACGGAGGAUGCAAGCGUUAUCCGGAAUUAUUGGGCGUAAAGAGCUCGUAGGCGGUUUGUCGCGUCUGCCGUGAAAGUCCGGGGCUCAACUCCGGAUCUGCGGUGGGUACGGGCAGACUAGAGUGCGGUAGGGGAGACUGGAAUUCCUGGUGUAGCGGUGAAAUGCGCAGAUAUCAGGAGGAACACCGGUGGCGAAGGCGGGUCUCUGGGCCGAUACUGACGCUGAGGAGCGAAAGCGUGGGGAGCGAACAGG